rnacentral:rRNA from 1 species
CAUAUAAAUAAGCGGAGGAAAAGAAACCAACAGGGAUUCCCCGAGUAAUGGCGAACGAAACGGGAAGAGCCCAGCGCCGAAUCCCCCGCUCGCAAGGGCGCGGGGAAAUGUGGCGUUUAGGAGUGAGCGUGCCGGCGGCAGACUCUGCAGCAAGUCCCCCUGACCGGGGCUGUUGCCCACAGUGGGUGCGAGGCCCAUAGCUGCUAGGUCGACGCCGGAUGCGAUCUCCUUGGAGUCGAGUUGCUUGGGAGUGCAGCUCUAAUCGGGUGGUAAACUCCACCUAAGGCUAAAUACCGCCGUGAGACCGAUAGCAAACAAGUAC